CGCGCCGGCCGCGAGCGCCUCGCAGCCUGCUCGCAUUCCUCCGCUGCUCUGGCACACAAGCCGCGCUACAGCGCGAAGGCGAGACGUGAGCAAUGCUUUGCUCGCGCGCAGACGGGGAAACCGAAGCCACGCUCAUCAAAGGGAAGCGCUCUCCAGAGGGAUCGCCCCUCUCCCUGGCCUGGCCCGGAGACAACAGUGUGCAGGACCCCGGGGUCAGUGCGUCCGGCUGCUUUGCCAGAUGGCUAAAAUUUGCCUCUCAAUAGGGACAGAGGCUCCAGCAAAAACAGAAGGCAAGAACGUGUGAAAAAAACCUGUGCAAGAAUAAAUAGCUUUAGA